rnacentral:rRNA from 1 species
CUGCUGCCUUCCGUAGGAGUCUGGCCCGUGUCUCAGUCCCAAUGUGGCCGUCCACCCUCUCAGGCCGGCUACUGAUCGUCGCCUUGGUGGGCCGUUACCCCGCCAACAAGCUAAUCAGACGCGGGUCCAUCUUACACCACCGGAGUUUUUCACACAAAUCCAUGCGGCUUCGUGCGCUUAUGCGGUAUUAGCACCUAUUUCUAAGUGUUAUCCCCCAGUGUAAGGCAGGUUACCCACGCGUUACUCACCCGUCCGCCACUAAG